UUGUUAAUUUUUGGCAAUGGG
ensembl:piRNA 21ur-7111 ncRNA